ACUACGGGAGGCAGCAGUGGGGAAUAUUGCACAAUGGGGGAAACCCUGAUGCAGCGACGCCGCGUGAGUGAAGAAGUAUUUCGGUAUGUAAAGCUCUAUCAGCAGGGAAGAAAAUGACGGUACCUGAUUAAGAAGCCCCGGCUAACUACGUGCCAGCAGCCGCGGUAAUACGGAGGGGGCAAACGUUAUCCGGAUUUACUGGUGGUACAGGGAGCGUAGACGGCAGCACAAGUCUGGAGUGAAAUGACUGGGCUUAACCCCGGAACUGCGUUGGAAACUGUGCAGCGAGAGUGCAGGAGAGGGAAGUGGAAUUCCUAGUGUAGCGGUGAAAUGCGUAGAUAGUAGGAGGAAAACCAGUGGCGAAGGCGGCUUACUGGACUGUAACUGACGUUGAGGCUCGAAAGCGUGGGGAGCAAACAGGAUUAGAUACCCCAGUAGUC
rnacentral:rRNA from 1 species